CUGAAAGCAUCUAAGCGUGAAGCCAACUCUAAGAUGAAUCUUCUCUAAGCUCUCUAGAAGACUACUAGUUUGAUAGGCUGGGUGUGUAAUGGAUGAAAGUCCUUUAGCUGACCAGUACUAAUAGAGCGUUUGGCUUAUCUUU
rnacentral:rRNA from 1 species